GAAUAUAAGUUAGCCUCGUAGUGACCAUGUGGAAGUCCUGACCUCGCUUGCAGACUUGACCUCCGGAUGUGACAAGGUAGCUUCACUACAGCUCUACUAUUUAAUCCUGGAAACUAAAAACCAAAAAAAAAAAAAAAAAAAUCUAAAAGCAAGAAAGAUGCAGACUAUUUCCUAAGAAGUCAGAAGAACCCAAUGUAUUCUGGAGGGCAAAGAAAAACAGGGUGAGGUUCUGUGUUCACUGAUACAUCCCCUUCCUUCACCGGGCUCAUGAAAAGAAAUGCUGAAUCAGCAAAUAGAGUGAACGAACAAUCAAGAUGAGAUGGCUGCUGCUGAUGUGAUUCUCUAGGUUACUACCUUUCUUCCUGCUGCAAAUGCUGCAUGACACUAAGCUUACAGGAUCUAGAAGCAGACUACAAAAAAAGAAGAAAUUCACUCUGAAGACUGAAGAAACACUAGGCUGAUCUUAAGUUUCCGAAAUACACUCUGUAACACUACACUGAUUCUAUGAAUCUCUUGCAAAAAGAAUCAAACCAGGACAAAGUUCAACAGAUAACUGGUCAAAUGCUUAGGAAUGUCUAUGUCCACCAAGAAUAUGGAACCAUUA
rnacentral:lncRNA from 1 species